AGCCGCGUGACCGAGAGGAUAGGUGAGGGCCUGCAAAACCUUACACGGUAGUUCGAAUCUACCCGCGGCAU
rnacentral:tRNA from 1 species